GGCCGGUUUCACCAAGCGAAAUUAUCUCGAUAAAGUAAUGAAUUAUCCAGAUUAACAGAAUAUCCCGUUUCACCACACCGAAUAUCUCGAUCUUUUAGUGUUAUCGAGAUAAAAUAUUUUAACCACCGAUUUUCGUGGUUAAAGUCUUAUUAUCGAGAUAAUAUUGUAAAACGAAGUGACGAGAGGAGAUUUUAAAAAUUGUAAUGGCUCGAGGCAUGUACAAUUUGAUUUUUGAAGAUGAAAGUGAUGAAGAAGAUGCCAUUGUUCGUCGGCCACGAUGGAUGCGAGAUAGAAGCGAUUAUUUUGAAAUGUAUGAUGAAGAAGACUUUAAAAUACAUUUUCGCCUUUCAAAACAGUCGACUAUGUUUGUUUUGGAACUUAUAGAAAAUCAACUACAGUUUCCCGAAAAGAAUAUGUCAGUGUCGCCAAUGAACCAACUGCUGGCUACACUUCGAUUUUAUGCUACAGGCUGUAACCAGCUAACCAUUGGGGAUUAUGCUGGCUUUAGUAAACCCACAGCUCACCGAAUAAUACAUAGGGUUAGCUCCGCAAUUGCAUCUCUUCGACCGCAGUUCAUUAAAUUCCCAGAGACGAUGGAAGAACUGAAUUUAGCACAAAGGGAUUUCUAUGCAAUUGCUAAAUUUCCCAGGGCUAUUGGUGCUAUGGAUUGCACUCAUGUAAAAAUCCAGUCACCAGGUUGGUUUAAACACUGAUUUUAUGCUACCUUUUUAUUAAACAUUGCAAUCCACAUACAAGCUUGUUUUAUGUUUGUUGCAGGUGGAAACAAUGCAGAAUUCUACCGUAACAGAAAAGGUUACUUCUCUGUGAAUGUGCAAGUAAUUUGUAAUACAAAAUUGGAAAUUACAGAUAUUGUUGCACGAUGGCCUGGUUCCUCACAUGAUAGUACCAUAUUCAACAAUAGCAACAGAAGGGCAUGUUUUGAGAGAGGGGAGUAUGGUGAUUCUGUACUACUUGUUGAUGCGGGCUAUGCUUGUAGGUCAUAUCUAAUGCCUCCAUUAGAUAAUCCCAGAAGUCCACAGGAACACCUAUUUAAUGAGUCGCAAAUUAGGUCAAGAAAUCCUGUAGAGCGAACAUUCGGUUGCUGGAAGCGACGUUUCCCAGUCUUAUCUUUAGGAUUGAGAGUGUCAUUAGAACAUUCGUUUGCCAUCAUUGUAGCGACUGGGGUGCUGCAUAAUAUCCUGCGACAAACUGGGGAAGAACUCCCUCCAGACGACCCUAACCUCAAUCUCCACCUCCCUUGGCAACAGUUGCUUGAGGAAGGAAAUGUACAGCAGAACAACGAAAAUGCAAACAGAAGGCCCAGAUAUGACAGUGUCAGGCAUUUACUGAUUGAAAACUAUUUCAGGAGGUAAAUGAAAUUUACAUAUACCUAUAAUUAAAUACCUAUAUAUGUGUGUGUGUUGUAAUACUUAUUUAAGAUACGAUUAUUUAUCACUCUGUGUAUUUUCAGUUUGUUGUAGGUCAUACUGAUCUAUAUGUCACACAGAGAUGCCAUCAACUUGAAGAUUUGCUGGUGAAAAUAACUACAUAUAGCAAGAUGUAUGGAAUAUUUUAAUACAUUUGCAUUGUACAACUGCUUAGAUCAUACAAAAUAAUGUGACAUAAGCGAACAUGUAUUAUCUUUUAUAUAAUUCUUAACAUUUGUACUUGAAACUGUUUGUUAAUAGGCACAAUGAAUAUCACUUUGUAAAUAUACAUGUAAUAUAUAACAAUUAUGUCAUGAUAGUUGAGCAAAUGUUUAAUACAUAAGAACAAUUAAAUUACUGCAAAUGU